GGAACAAUAUAUAAACAUUCUUAUAUUAUUUUUUUGAAACUCUAACUUCCUCAUUUUCCCUCUCUCUCACGCUGCUCUCCCACACUCUCCUUCUUUUCCAACUCUUCUUGUUUUUCUUCAUUGAAAAUCUAGGAUUUCUAAUUGAUUUCUUCAAGAUCUCUAAUUAAUACUUUUCACUAUACACUUUAUUUAGUCGGACAAAUUUCAUCAACUGAUUUGCGUUAGCCAUCGUAUUCCUUUCUUCGAUCUGUUAAAUUUCUUCAAAACGAAGCUUUGGUCUAAAUCCUUCAAAAGAUCUAUAGCUUCAAACAAGUCAAGUUGUUGCAGAUCUAUUAGGCUUAUUGAUUUCUUGUUUCAUCUUUUUUAUUUUAUUUUUUUCGAGUAAAUUUAGAUGUAAUUCUAAUUUGUGGCUUUAAUAUUUAUUGUGAUUUGUAAUUUCUGUAUCUCAUGGAAUAUGAAUCAAUUUUAUUUUCUUUA